AAGCUCGUAGUUGAAUUUCGGGAUCAAUCUGUUGGUCGUGCCUUUGGUACGUACUAGCUUAUUGAUUUCUCCCUUCUGACGAACCAUGAUGUCAUUAAUUUGGUGUCAUGGGAAAUCAGGACUGUUACUUUGAAAAAAUUAGAGUGUUUAAAGCAGGCUCACGCUUGAAUACAUUAGCAUGGAAUAAUGAAAUAGGACGUUUUGAUUCUAUUUUGUUGGUUUCUAGGAUCGACGUAAUGAUUAAUAGGGAUAGUUGGG
rnacentral:rRNA from 1 species